UACGUAGGGUGCAAGCGUGUCCGGAAUUAUUGGGCGUAAAGGGCUCGUAGGCGGUCCGUCACGUCGGGAGUGAAAUCCUGGGGCUUAACCCCAGAACUGCUUCCGAUACGGGCAGACUAGAGGUAGGUAGGGGAGAAUGGAAUUCCUGGUGUAGCGGUGGAAUGCGCAGAUAUCAGGAGGAACACCAGUGGCGAAGGCGGUUCUCUGGGCCUUACCUGACGCUGAGGAGCGAAAGCGUGGGGAGCGAACAGGG
rnacentral:rRNA from 1 species